ensembl:lncRNA
AUUUGCCUGUGAAUCCAUUUUUUCACCACCCAUUGUUUCCCCAAUGAAGUCUUCUCCUUCUCACUGAAAGGCUUCUGCGAUCGGAGCUUCCUGGUAGGUACAAAUCCUUCUGGGCAGAUAUUUGUAAUAAUGUCAUGAAGUGUAUAGUGUGCUUAGGGAAUGUGUUAGAUUUGUGCUCCAAAGGAUCUGAGGAAUGGCAGCUGCUUAUCCAGACAUCUCUCCCACCCCAUCAAGACAUCCGGGCUAUAUUUUAGUUAAGGAAGAAAAGGAGGCAGAAAAAAUGAAGUUCCAGAUAAAAGCCAAAACAAAACAAAGGAACAUUUCAGAGAACAUGUACCAUCUACAGACCAGAUUCACACUUCUCUGAUCACCACUCACUCCUCUUGACAAAUAAAAGGUUUUGGCACGUCAACAAAACCAUCAAAAGGAAGCAACUCAGGAUAUGGUAGACCUUCUGGGCUGCAAGUGCACAUUGCUUGCUCAUGUUGAGGUUUUCAUCAACGAACACCCCCAAAUCCUUCUCCUUAGGGCUGCUCUCAAGCCAUUCUCUGCCCAGCCUGUAUUUUUCUUGGCUGUGAAAUUUUGUGAGCAAAGUUGUCUCAAAGCUUCUCAGCAGGUAAAUGACAACUCAAUCUAGUCACCCCAGCAAUAAUAAGAAAAGAAGAGCUCUUCACCACACAGCCUCAUCAUCCUGGCUGCUGGAGCAGCCCAAAGCUCAUGCUGUGGCUGCCGAGCUGUUAUGCAGCACACUCAGCUCCAUUGUGUAUCCUCCUGCCAAGAGUCAGGAGUGUAAAAAGGGUACGUUAAUGCAGAUUUGAAGGCUUGGUUGGCCCUGUUCCUUCUUUCUCCUUGGAAAACCCCCAUUGCAUUCAAUCUUUGCAAUUUAGAACAAAGUUAAAUAAAGCUGAUCUUUUCAUACUAUAAAAUAUUAAGAACAGCUGCACACAUUCUGAAAAUGAAUCAAUUCUUUUUGCUUUAAUUUAGUAUUGCCUUACUGAAAAUGCCUCUGUCUAUAUUCAUUUACUUGAGAUAGACUUCAGGAGACAUAAAGUGGUGCUACUGAAGAUGUUUGUGAUAACUGUAAGCUAGCUAUAUAUUAGUUUUGCAGCACUGCUCUUUUGCGCAAUAACUUACAAGCUCAGGCUUAAUAAUACAGUCUCCAAAAUAAGCUCUUACAUGUGCUAGGAAUGCCUUAACAGUAACUGUGGCUCUCUUGAUGUGCAGCAGUGAUAUAAUAGUAAUCAUUUUUUAGAUAUCUCUUAUUGUCAAAAUGACUUUAAUCUCGAUUUAUUAGAUAGUUACUGGUUCCUAGAAAGACAAAAUGAUAUCAACAAACCAUUUGUCUUCCAUGCUGGCCUUUAUGGCUGCAGUAGAGAUGUCAGUGAAGCACACAGUUGUUUUUCCAUCCAGAUAUUACACUGAUGUGACAUUGUCUUCUGGUUGAGCUGUUGAGAUAGUUUGCUUCCCAGUACACCUUCAGUCUGGCUGUUGUCUUGCACAAACACUGGACAUUGAACCCAAGGUCUUGCUCAGACAGUUGGUGACUGUGGUAUCAGUCAUACCUGAGGUCUUGCUGAGGCAGAUAGCAACCACAAUACUGGCUGAAACUGGGUCCUUGGAGGAACUGACGGACAGCUGCCUUGCUCAACAGUUGAGGAUCAGUUGAGCAUAUGCUAGAAAAUAUGAUUAUAUGUCAAUCAUCUUGCCCUGUAAAUAUGAAACAGCUCAGAGUGCAUUGAGCUCCUUCCUGAAUGACAGUGGGCUGCAUGACAGGAUUGUCCCUUGAGUAAGGAUGCCUCUGAAGGUUAUGUCUGCUGCAGAGAUCCCUUACACCUUGAUGUCAAGAGAUUCCUUGCUGCCACUAAUCCUUGGUAAGUCAUUAAUAGCUUGCUAUGCUUUGUGAGCUUCUCUAAAGUUUUAGAAUGAUUGUGUACAUAAAAUCUUUUAGACAUAAACCAAUGACCAAGUCUGGG